GGCAUUGAUUCUAGAUUCAGGUUCAGGACGUUUUUUAAGUUUAACUACAUGCAAGACUUCAUUUGAAAACCAAAGUAUGAUACUUAAAUUGCGCAUUGUUCUACUCCUAAUUGUGGUAAUCAGCCUGAGUGAAUGCAAGAAGGACGGCAGCCAUGGAUCACUGAUGUCAGAGAGUAAUAAAAAUAAACCCAAACCGAAUAAAUUUGGUUCAAGUGACGAGAUUGACCAAAUCGAUCCGCCCGAACCAUUCGAAGGACCCCAAGCAACCGAAGCACCGGAGCCAACCGAGACGCCUGAUACAGGAGACGAUGCACCGAUCGCAGUACAAUUGCCUGCAGAAAUAGAUGGCCCCGUAGGCGGCGAAUAACGAAGUGAAAUUAUCGCCGGCCGCGUGGUGGAAAUGUAUAUAAAUAAUUAGAAAACAUCUCCUAGAGUUGAAAGACAACGAUAUGUAUGUAGGUUUUAGAAGGGACGAUAUUCAAAUAAUAUCUCUCAUAAGCAUGUACCAGGAAAUGUCAUUUAUAAUAAAUACAAUAUAUUUGA